UAAUCAAAGACAUGAUGAGGAGUAGAGUGUCGAUGGCAAUUUGUUUGUUCAAGCUUCCAGUUCAGAAGCUUCAACUCUCCAUUGUUUUGGUAUAAAGCGUUAAUCUCUAACCUCUUUUUGCAUAUCAAGCCAUCCACAUUACCCAAAUAUAAGUCAGGAGAGGAUCACAAGCCAAAAAUACGACAGAUUUUGAUGGCUACCAGCAUGGCUUGGGCUAAACAAUCUGCAACCACAAGAAGGCGGAAGCAAGAAACCACAAUCAAUGCUAGCAGCUAAGACAACAGAAGCUUCUUCAACAGAUCAAAAUAGAGAGCACUGGGUUUUUUCAGUUGUAGGAUGCCCCGUCUAGAUUGAUGCUCCAGAGCAACCUUCGAACCUUGUACAUCCACCAAAUCAAUCUGAAUGUUUAAAUUUUUGUCUUUGUAAGAUAAAUUAUAUGUUGAAAAAUUUAUGAUGAAUUGGAAAGGUGCAGGGUUUAGAAGAUCUUGAAACAUAUUCAUCAUCAUGUUGGACCUAAAUCGUCAGUUAGGACCUGCAGUGGACCAAGAAACCUUUGUUUCAACUUUUGCUUUGGGGAAAUGAAGCUGCCUAUAGACAGCUAAAUGAUGCAUCAAACAGUGAGGGGAUAGGAUGAGCUUGCUUGGCUAGUUAGGCAACAACGCCAGUCCCAGUCUUCCAGAUAGCGAACUAUAUUAUCUCUCAUCCAUGUCAAUGUCUGCAAGGGCACAUCGUUACCAAGGGCAUAGAAAACCAUGUCCUGGAAGUACAAUGUUCAAAGCAAAUUAGGAAAGAGGAAGUCAACAGAAGAAACCCCCUGUAAACCAACAGUCAAAACAAGGCACCUUCCAGAAAGCCCCAUAAGUCCAAUAGCUGGAGAACCAAUAGUCAAUAUCAGAGAUGUUGUAAGCUUAAUUCGACUGUGCAAACAAAGAAGCUAAAUUGAGGAUCAAUUAUCCAAACGUAGUUCCCAAAUUCUCUGGUCCCCAUCCCAUGGUUAACGAU
rnacentral:lncRNA from 1 species